CAGUUUGGAGGGAAAACAACACAAACAUCACCAUCCAUAACUCUGUCUCUCCAGGGCUUUAUAUGUUGUCAGGCAAUCAAGCGUUUAUUUGGGCCACUCAAUCUGCAGGAAUGAGAAUGUCAAAAUGAAAGAAAGUUACAAUAAACCAUGAUGUUUCCCGCUGAGACUUGCGCGCUUCCGAGGCCUCGACUGAUAAAGCUCAAUCAUUCAUGCAAUCCGUGGACCAAAAUACA